UUUGUGCGGAGGGAAUUAUAUUCAGAGCAAAAUCUAAUCCACACGUGGGAAAUGAUCAACUACACUUUUUUUUGAUAAAAAAAAAUUAGAUCGGAAUCUAUUAAAUAUACAUAUCUAAUUUUUAGGUGGGAGGUGCAAUUUACGGACAGACCUUCUCACGGAUAUUUAAAUGGGCCGAAAAUUAUAAAACUGAAGUAUUUCAUUGGUAAAACCAUGUUGUUGUUUUUUUUUAACAAAAUCGCCUAGGAAUCUAUAUAUAAUAGCAAACCUAAUUUUGUUUUCAGCAUUUUUUAAUAGGAAAAAAAAGAAGUUUGAUCUAAGAUUGAUGCACCUCUUCUCUGAUCGACGCACCUUUUUACGGUGACCUCUUUUGAUACGGGAACGACGCACCUUUUAAACUGAUUAUUAGAUUGAAGUACUGGUUAGAGUCGCUAUUUUUUUUCUGAGAACGCUUCUCAAUCGAAGUCCCAAGGAAAAGCUUUGGUUCCUCAUCAUGCUCUGCUCUAACCGGCCAACUCGAUGGCUACAAUUGAUUUCUAAUAUAUCUCGCCGCGAAUCUAAACCGCCACCACCGUCUUCAUUGAUGAUGAGACUGACGUUAUAAAGUUGAUGAGAGAGAAGAGCAAGAAGUAGAAGAAGAAAGUUGUUGCGGUGACAACGCUGCCAUGGAUGGAAUUGAAAGGCUCAAUUUCAAGAAAAUAAGAUACGGAGGAUAGAUCAUGUCAUCUGAUGUUGAGGCUCAACUACGACGCCAAUUUGGAAGCUUCGUCUGUUACAUCUUGUGCUGUUUCUUGGGUCGGAAGCAACCGGGGCAGACGUCAAGUGCUGGUUCCAUAUCGAUGGCAAGAGAAUCAAGAUAUCUAAUGAAUAUUUAUACGCUGCAGUCUGAGUAGGCUUGUGAAUGUGAAUGUGAUUGUAUUGCAGAUCCAGCAUCACCCCUGGGACACUACUGAUCAUCCUUGCUGGUAGGUUCAAGGGCAAGAGAGUUAAUUUUUUUUAACCAACUACCCUCUGUUUUUCUUUUUGUGACCGAUCAAUGAUUGCCACGUCCUGAAAGUCUCUGAUGUUAGCCUCGAUAAAUAUGAUGAUCAUUAUUUUGGAAAGGUAGGCGAGAGGAAGAACAAGAAGGGAGAAGGAGAGUCUCUGAUGGAGCCGUGGAUCUAUAUAUCUGAAUUAUAAACACCUAAAGGCAAAAUUCAAAAAGUGUACUAUUUAUAGUACUCAAGUUUAUUGUUUUCUGCUAGGCUUCAAUCUCAAGCUCUCCCUUGUACUUAUUCACUUCUUUCCUCUUCCUCUGCGUGUUGCCUUUCUCUCGUGUCCUUACUUAUACACUCCAAUGUAUCAGAGUCUUCGAGGCAGAGAGAGAGAGAGAAAGUGCCUACACAUAGGGAAAACGACGACCAGAUGGCUGUGGACGGAGCUUUGAUCAAAGCCAUCGAGGUAGUUUCAGAGUUGAAUACUUGCCUUUGCACAGUUUUCAUUGCACAAGGAAUGGAGCCACAUAAGCUUGUUUUCUAGAUUUUAAAACCUUUUAUGAGCAUCUUAGGUAUAUGUGCCCUCAUGCGUUACUCUUUUUUUGUUCUUGUCCACAUACCAAAGAUAUUUUGACUUUUUUUUUUUUUUUGGUAUAAAUGUUAAAUUUUAUUACCAAUUUUUGAUUUUGACAGAAUUACAAGAGUUACAAGAAACAAAAUGCAGAAAUGAAACUAAACACAAACUAAUCUAAGACUCAAUCUAAUCUAAGCAAGGCCUACUACAAGCAAAUCAACAACCUAGUGGACACAACAAAGUUGGAACAACCACUUGCCACAAAAGAGAAACUGCAUUAAGCACGAGAGCUGAGCCCGGUAGAAAUUGGCAGUACCCGAUGAAAAACUCUAAGGAUCAACUCCUCAAGAAUAGCUUGUGAGAGACCUCUCAAUCAGCAGCACAAGGAGAGAACACCCGAGCAAGCACUCGCUCAGACAUGACGAGCAUUUAUUUGGAGGAAAAGACCAUAAGUCGAGGUCCCUCACCGAACAAGAAACACGGGUUGAGAAGAGGCUGAUUCGCCUAGAAGCGAUACGGUACCUGCAACCAAGAAGAACGGAGAUCCUCCUAUCAAACACUGCUGAAACAGCAAGCUUCGAUACUGGGAUGGAGGAGAUCCAAAGACGCCGCCACAGAAUGAAAUUGAGCUUUUCUGACCACAAAAACUUGACAGACAUCCACACCAUUCUCCUUUUAGAACAAUAGGAAGAUUCUUCUAGGACUGAGAGAGAGAAACUCGGUGACAGAACGAGCUCUACAAAAACCAGUGAGAACGGGUAACCAAAACCCAACAACCAGAGAGGCCAACUCUAUUGUGGGCUCACCGCCAGACAAACCAGCAAGCCGGAACAAACAAAGACCGAAGAAGAUAAUACCAAACUGACGAUGCCAAAGCAACUACUACUCCACGCGCCUCCGAACCGGAUACCUACACGCGCCGCCGAGAUACAUCUCCUGACACCACCAAGAAACUCAACACGACGCACGCCUUGAUGUUGUGAAACACUGAAGUUCAGCUUGAGAAAGAGGGAAGGCAGCUCCUUGUCGAGACACCAAGACAAAGGAGCGGACACCUACCACCUACACUCCACACCGACAAAGA